rnacentral:lncRNA from 1 species
AAAAAUGUUAAUAUGUGAUUAUGAUAACCCCUGUAAUACAAAUUAUAACAUGAUGCCAACAACUUCAAUAAAUGUUUUGAUGAAAUGAUAAUUAAUGCAAUGAUAAAGAUGAUGGUUAUGAACAGUAGCAGUAAAAUAAUUUCUUUAAUCCUACACCUCCUAACCUGGGUGGUUGAGAGAGACAGGCUGGAGCCUUGUGUUGAGUGUGUAUAGGGCUUUGGAGCGUGAUGUCACGGGAGGUGGGCCACGCCCCCUUUCGCCAUGACAGUAGGCCAGACACAGGAUACAGCUUCAGCUAUGGUUCGUACGUGAUGUGGUGGCAGUUGCAACGUUAGAUUACACGAUCGUGAAAGCAAGAAGCUGGAUAAUGGGCUCUCUUUUCAUCAUUUUCCAUCCUGGAGGCAACGUGAGGGAUGCCAUGUAUCCAAAUUUAUUAAACAAAGACGUCAGGCUUGCAUUGCAGCGGUGAGAUGAGCGGAUCGAGUUCUGUGCAAUCCCCAGCUUUUUGUUGGUUUGCUCUCCGCAUUUUCUUUCCGGCUUUUGUUAUGCAGCUGCAGAGUCUGAAGGUGUGCCCCGUGCAGAAGUGAUCGAUGAAGAUCUGACAGAAGACCAACAACAAAAUCACAAUGUCAUAGAGGCUGUGGACAGCAGUUGUGUUGGAUAAGUGAGGUUGAGGUACCAGCUGCAAAUGUGGACAGUGGCGAUCGGACAGACAGCAUCACGGAAGCUAAAGGGCAGACGAAGGAUUGUGUGUGCAAUGAACAGGGCAGAGCAGAAAUAAACACAACACUGCCUGAUAAGAUUGUUAAGGUUUGCUGUGUGUGUGUGUGUGUGUGUGUGUGUGUGUGUUUGUGCAACAUUGGCAUUUGUUUACUUAGAUCCAAGGCAGGCCAAACCUCUGUGUUACAACCUACAUACAAAAGACAGACAUUCACAAUAUAUGGGUACACAAGUCUGUUUUAUUUCAAAGUCUUUCAAACUUUGAAACGAACCUGUUCCCUACCAAGCAUUUCUUGCAGCUGGCAACAACGGUCGUGCAUUCAGUAUAGUUGUGACUUCCGCAAAAAAUGUGGUCAAAAUCUCAUGAGUAAGUUGAAGCAUUUCUAUCAGGCAUUUCUGAAAGUUGUAACACAGAGGUUUGGCCUGCCUUGGAUCUGAGCAACUCUGAGUGAGCAAAUGCAAAUGUGCCAGGCCUCAAGGACAAUGGGUGGUUUGCACAACAAAAGCUGUAGGAGAAACAAGCUGACGACCUGUGAAAAUCUCAGCAGGGGUGCUUAACACCUCGGGACUUGCACCAGAAAAUAAAAAAGCCAGUAAUUCUAGGGGGUAUUGGGUUUAGGGAAGUUACGCAAAUUUGCGCAGGAUAGUAAACCUAGUGUUAAUCUUACAGAGAAUGUGAUCAUUUUAUGGAUGUUAAGGGAUUUCUUAGGAUUUUAGGAUUUUUAUUAUGUUAUGCUUAAAAGUACAUUUCAUUAUCUAAAUGUGUUUGCUCUUUCUUAUUCAGCUUAACCUCUGCAACUCUGUGCAGACUCCUAAAUGGGGAAGUUACACAGGAAGCCUGCAGUUCUAUUUUCUCUCUUCCUGUAUGUGCUCUCUGAAUAAAGACUCUUCCUUUUUACUGCAGCGGUGCGAGUCUCCCUCGACCGUGUACACGUAAACCUGUCUGAGCCUUUUUAUUCCGACCUGGGUUGCAAUACAGGAAAACUCCUGACAUUUCUUGGUCCUUCGAGCCGGAUGGGAUACAGCAUUUUUGUGAGAUCCCACAGGAAAGCCUCACCGAGUCCUGACGCCGUGAGAAGCCCACGCUGAAGUCUGUCGACAGCUCCUCUCUAGGUAGAGGAUAUAAAGUCCAGAGACGUAACGUUCGGGUUCUGGCCAGCGUUCUUAUAAGUGGUCCACGGCAGUGGGGGUCGAUGAGGUUGACCUGAGAGACCGGCAGCAACCAGGUGAAUAUUAACACUCAGACACCUCGCGUAAAACGUUUAGGCUCGCCCAGAGGGGCUGGUAGCAUUCCUAAAAGUAAAGGCUCGCCUGAAAAAGGGCUGGAAGCAUUUUUAGGUGGAUUUCUAAAAGUAAUGGCUCACCUGAAAAAGGGCUGGAAGCAUUUUUAGAAGGGUUUCUAGAAGUAAACGCUCGCCUGAAAGAGGGCUGGAAGCUAUUUUAGAUAAACCUCGUCCAUAAAACGUAGUACGCGUUGAAAAGGUAUUGUCGUUGUUUAUUUUGUUGGUGGAAUAAGUUGAUUUUACAGCACAAUAAGGAGGCUGAACUAUUCCACUAUUUUGUUUGCUGUUGGCUACCCAAGUACUGGUGAAAAGAGAGAAACAGGUCGUGUUUUAUCACGUAAAGGUGACACCGCUUUCAAGAAUAGCUUGAAAGUAGAAGGCCGUGUCAACUACCACUCUCUAUUCUCGUGCCAGAGAAGGUGCCGCAGUUGUGUAGUUGCAAAGGAUUAAAAUUAAAAGGAUUAAAAUGGGUAAUGAAGCUUCAAAACUCACUGCUGACGAGCAGUGGUUAGAGAAAAAAUGUCCAGGUGCCGGACAAAUUAGUGCAUAUAGAUUGAGAAAUCCAAAGAAAACCUAAAUGUCCCAUGUGGGAGGGAAAAUGCAUUGACUAAAUUAUAAGAAACCCUCCAAGCAGAAAUAAAUACUGAAAAGGAAGCUAAAAAGAAAACAAAGAGUACACAAGAGUUGUAAUAUUUUAAAGCAUGGAAAGAGGAAUGAAGUGGAAUAAACAAAAGGUUAAAUUAGGGUUAACUUAACUUAAAGUAGAGCUUAUCUAGUGAUAAGCAUGAUAAUAGGGGAUAAUAGGAAGGUUAACAACCUGUAAACUGGUAUUAACAAUGAAACAUAGUUGGCAUGAUGACCGUGCCUAGAAUGAAUAGAAUGCAUGAAACCAGAUAAUUCACACGAAAAUAUAUCAAAUAAAAAGAGAGAUGCAUAAGGUAUUAUUAUGGCUGUGUCAUUGUUCAGCCAAGGAAAAUGUCUCCAGCUUGGGGAGGUGUGAAGCUGCAGAUUCACACAGACCUGUGAUGGAUACAUAAUAAAAUAUAAACUAAUAUACUAUUGUAUAUUAGUAGUAAAGUAGUGAAGUAGUGUAUAUACUAUUGCUGUUAUAAAAAAGGAAAAACAAUACAAUGAUAACAUUAAUAAUGACAUACUAUUAAUAAGAAGGGGCACCUCAAUCAGUUAUGAUGUGAGGUGGAAGAUUGUUAAAAGUAGUCUGAUUCAAGCUUAAGGUUUGCUCAAACUCAGUACAAUGAUAUAUGAGAUGAAGAAAAUAAGGAAAUAACUACACUAAUCAGGUGCAUAGAGACACUCGACCUGCUCAUAAACCUGUCAUCUUAGAUGAGACUUUGUUAAGAUGAAGACCUAUACUAACAACUAAUGAGAAGCUGAAUUAAAUAUGUGGACACUACCAAGCUAAUGAGGAGCGGUGACGUGCAUGGAGAUGCUGGUUUUGCUCACUACAAUUGUAGUUAGAGUUUGAAUUCAUAACUGUGGAUGUACAGUGAGUGACCUCUAUAUAUCUUGAAAAGCAUGUCUGAAAUGCUCGUAUGAAAGCAUAUUUUGAGUGAUUCUAACUGUGUGAAUGCUGUGAGUAGUAGGUUUUGAGUGAUUGGGUGUGAUUUGUACAAAAAUAAUAAAACAUAAGUAAUAAUAACACUACAAAGGUUCAUAGUAGAGUGUGUGAACAAGUGGAAGUUUGAGUGUGUGUGAUGAUACCUGAUGUCUGAAAGGGCUCUAUUCAGGAGUGUGAGCGUGACAUAAAGGUGUUGGUUUUAGAUCAAGAUUUAGCAGAAUUAAAGAGGGUUUAUAGACUAUGAAUACAAAGAGAAACAAAAGAGUUCGAUUAGUCUGCAGAAACAGGAAAUAGGUAUAUAAAUAUAUAUGUGUGCCUGUGGUGUGUCAAGACAGCUCGCAGAGAGAAACAGAACUCUAUGAAUAGACUCUAUGAAUAGAAUGAAUAGACAACACAUACUCAAACACUUGCAAUGAAGAAAGCAGCUUACACUCAAUUAAUAUGAACGCAAAGCCUUGAUGCCAUAGGCAAUUUGUUUUUGUUUUUGUUUGUUUGUUUUGUAAGUUUGGAAAACAAAUUUGUGAUCAUACUUGUGGAUCACAGUGACAUAUCAUGAUUAGGCAUAUGAUUUAACAAUGACGAGUUUUAGAGCUGUGAGCUAUGAGCUAUAAGCAAUGCAAAGUUUUUCCUAACUUAAAAGUUUGAAAUAUGUAAGAUGUAUGAAUUCUUUGAGAAAUAGGAAUUGCCUAAAAUGCCUUAAGUCAAAAUGUAGUGUUGCAUCUACACAGCAGAUAGAGUUGUAGAAGCGAAACCGUUGACAUCCUCACACACGCAGGCCAAGAUAUAAAUAUAUACACUGACAGACAGUAUGUUUUUUCAACACUUUGAGAUCUUCUAAAGACACUGUCAAAACUGCCAAAACAGUUCAAAGGUCACUGAAGGCAAUAACUUUGCAGACCAAAGCCGCAAAAGCAGCAGCACAACAAACUAUAGACAUAUUAAUGUUUGACUCCACAAUGCAAAUACCACUUGAUGUGCUUAUAAACGAACAGAAAGCCGCACCAACUAGAGAACGCCGCACCAACUAGAGAACAAAAGAGGUGGUUAAAAGGUGGAGCACAGCCAGAAAGUGGUUUGAUGACUUGUAAUAGCAAACCAAUACUACCAAAGUCCCUACACAUAUCAGCAGCAUUGUUGUCAACAGGAGGGGGGGUAGGAGUGGUAGAUAAAAUUUCGGAAAUUUGUCGGAACAUGCAUGAUUUGCCAAAAACAUAAUGCACAUAAUGCACACCACCUCAUCCUUUUCAUACAAUCCACAUGAGUUUUAUUGAGCUGAAUGAAUGCCAAGGCUCAGAAUACGCUCUAGUGAUCAUAGACGUGAUCUCAAAAUGGCCAGAAAUCUAUCCUGUGAAAAAGCAGACGCCAUCUCAGUAGCAAAAUGUUUGUGCAACCAUUUUAUUUCAAUAUAUGGCAUCCCCACUCUGAUAAGAUCAGACAAUGGGACACAUAUUGUUAAUGAAGCAAUCAGUAAGGUCUCUGAAGCACUGGGAAAUAAAACAGAGACUGAGAAAAUGCAUGGAAGAAACAGGGAGACCAUGGCCUGAGUGUAUAGGCCUGGUAAAAAUGUGGAUGAGACUGACACAAAGUUCUCAGAAACUCACAACUUGAAAUUACUUGAAAAUAAAGAGAUUGUUCUAAACAACUCUCCAGUAUCUUGCAGGUUGAAACCAGGUGAUCGGAUCCUGAUCAAAGUACUCCAAAAGAAAAAUUGGAGUUCACCAAGGUGGGAAGGUCCUUAUCAGUGCUACUCACCACACCAACUGCCUGCAAAAUAGCAGAAAGACCGUCCUGGAUCCAUCAAAGCCACUGCAAAAAAGUGAGUGACAACCUAAACGUUUAGACGCCGACACCCCUAACUCCUGUAUGGUGAUCUAUUGGUGGAGGGAGGGCUGAUCGGGUAUACCCCGCCUUCUUCUUCUUGCCAGUAGUCUACUCAUCAGAGGUCACAGGUGUGUCUGGUCAUCAUGAAGACACUUGUCCUCCUAGUGGCUAAUGUUACACUCCUGGUGAGUUUCUUAAC